rnacentral:lncRNA from 1 species
ACACUAGGAGGAUGAGGACUAGAUCCCAGCCAUUAGAUACUCCCUAGGCUGAUAUUAGCAUUUCUGUUUAGAGCCUAGGUUAGAUAUCUAGUUCUCAUAUGUAUUUUGCUUUUAUCAUAUAUGUUUAAACUUUGAUUAAGGAACAUUGUAUCUGUUUUUGUUUUUGGGCAUGAAUGUACUAAAAUGUUCCUAUUUUGAUCAAUGAAGUUUGAAUGCUUGUUAUUUAUUGUGUCUUUUCCCAUGCAUCUAUUUGAUGAUAACAAAAAGGGGGAGAAGUAAAGAAAGAGUAAUGUAAUAGGGGGAGAAGUAAAGACAGAGUGAUAAGAGAAGUAAAGAAAGAAG